UUUUAAAUGAAGCUGGUACAGACAAUGUCCAUUCAAAACCCAUGUCCCAGGCCAAAAGGUACAAACAAGAGUGUCAAAGUAACACCAGUUGCCUGCUGUGAACAUUCUUGCAAGAAUACCUGCGUGAACUAAUUGCUAUAUGAAGUUAAAAUGCUUCUGGGCUCUUCUGGCAAGAUUUAAGAAUCAUUAGGGUUUUCAAUUCUAUGUCUUCAGCAAAGCCAUCUCUGGAGCAAGGUACAGAUGACAACGGUUCUAGCUUUUUCAUUUCCAACUCUGAUCUUCUCCGUUGGGCCAUCAGCACAAUUUAAGCAAAAAAGCUCUGAGUUAUGGAUACAUGAUUUCUCCACAGUUUAGUUCUGAAAAACUUCAUCUCGCACUGAAAGUUAUAGUCCAGGAGUGAAACAGUCACACAUCAAAACUUCAGGGCAGAUAUGGAAGUCAUUAAGAACACUCGCCCACCUGGCAGAUCUUACAACCUUCGUGCCUGAAAUGCACGAACCUAGUGAACAUACAAAUGCAUGUGUGUACAUGUAUUUCUAAAGGGGAGGGCGGAAGGGAAAAGGAGAGCAGGGCUGCAGCUGGAUCACAGAAGUUCAGCACAAUGAAAACAGAAACAAUAGUGUAUAAUGAGCACGAGAAUUUAAAAUACCAGACGCUUGAAAAUAAACUCCCAGAGAUGGGGUGCCAGUUUCAAUUCAGUGUUGAACACCACAUUACAAAAGAACUAUUAUUUAAAAAUAAAAAAGGAUUAAGGGGAAAUAAAACAAACAGAAGGAUCUAAACUGUUGAGUGACCCCCCGUCUGUUCCUGAUAAACUUCAAUCACAUCUUCCUCCUCCAUCCCCAGCUCCUUGGGGGUAUGAUUAUCAGUAAUUCUCUGACCCUCGAAGAGAAACCUGAGUGAGUUCAUUGGAACACCCUGUCUUUGACAGUAUGAUUCUUUGAGUUUCUUGAGGUGUGUUGUCAUUUUCACCUUGAAGUGAAUUUCACUGCUGUCCUGCCCAAUGACUUUGAGUUUAAUGUAUUCCCCCUCUUUCUUAUCUCCUAAGUCCUCAGCUGAAGGCUUUGCUUCCUGGUCCGACAUGGCUGGGCGCGGGGCGGGCGACGGGCUCGGUUGGGCCGCUGCGGGGCUCGGCUCCUUUCUCUGCCCGCAGCGCAAACACAGGCCGCGGCGCGGGCGGGAUUUCCUGUGCGCCUGAGCUCACUUCCCGCCGCCGGCUCCUCCCCGCCCGAGCGGGGCUCGGCUCUGCCCGCCCUGGCUCGCUCCGCGUCGGCACGCGGGGCCCGACCUGCCCCGCUACUGCUUCGGGGCCGGCGCUACGCCACGCGGCACGAAGGAGACGGAGCUCAUCCCGCGAGCGGUGCGGGCGCAGUGCCGGCGGGCCGUGUGCCGGGCAGCGAGCGGGGCGGGCGGCACCGCCGCUGGGGGGAGCGCGUCAGUUCAGUAGCGCUCCCACCCACUCCCCGGUCGGCUCCAAAACAACGCACAGUAGCAGCAACAGAACAAACCUCACCCUAUACGGCGUUGCUACUCGCGAGCGAACGCACAGCUCUAAACGCAGAAGGGGAGCCAUAUACCGGCGUGGCUCUAGCAUGAAACCCGAGCGUACUUCUUAACGUCACCCAUUUUCCUUACACAGUUCUGCACUAAAAGCGCACGCUCGCUUGAGCCAGAACUCAGCUGCCUCCCCCACGCAGAACAAAGGCGCAGCCCCCACACGUGCACGGCCGCACACGGCACGCCGACUCUCGCCGCUCCCCCCGCCUCGUGAAGGAAGCGACAGCCCGCAGGGCACGGGCCGCCUCAGCGCCGUGUCUGCCCAACUGCGCUGUUCGACCUGCGAGAAAGACGGGAACGCACCAACAAAGCCCACGCUUCUCUUCUUUGGCUGCAUAACCUCAGCAUACGGUGUAUUUACAGUUAAGGCUCUUCUCAGAACACUCAAAGCCAUCGCUGCUGCAGCCACCUGGGAAUUAAGCGAGACUCUUAUGGCAAAUAUUAUAACUUCCCUGCUUUUUCCCCCCUGCAACUGAUCUCAGCCACCUGGAGCCCCCUCCAUUAGCUCAGGGUUCUUGACAUCAGAUACAACCAGCUGGCUCCUAUCGCUGGCACAGCCGCUUGGGAGCAGGCAGUGCUGGCAAGAAGGAUGAAUGUAACACUGCAAACAGCGUCCUGGGCCACCAGCACUCAAACAGGGCUUUGAAAGUAGGUGCGUGAGCCUGACAAUGGCUUCCCAAGCUAAACACUGCUGCUUAUUAGUUACACGGCUGAAAUAUUCCUCACAAUAUCGAAAGUAAAAAAGAAUUCCCGCAGAAGAAAAGAAACCCUCGGGAGUAACGUGAAUGCCCGUAUUUCGGACUGCCAGCUCCGCUGCGCACCCCUCACACGAGCAGCACAGCAAACGAAGCGCUGCUGACUCACGGGGACGACUGCACAAACGGCAUGAAGGCACGGCGAGACCAACCAGGGCCCCACAGCGCCCCCUCCCGGCGGGCAGGGAGAGCCGUGCGUGCACUGCUAACCCCCAAAGCAGCAGCGACGGGAACCCAACAAAACGGGGACUGCGCUCAGUCCGCACCCACCGCGCGGCCUUCGGUCACAGCGCGACCCGGUAGGCCCCUGUUUAUAGGCAGAAACUUGCACAGUGCGACCGCGAUGCCUGCAGCACGGCCC
rnacentral:lncRNA from 1 species